rnacentral:tmRNA from 1 species
GGGACUGAAAGGUUUCUACAUAUUGUUAAAAUUCAUAAUUACAUAUAAGGUUAUAAAAAUUUUAAAUAGUAAUAUUUUUACAUCUAUUUAAUAUAUUUUAAGCUAAGUGCAAAACACAAUAUAAUAGUUUUCUCCAAAAAAAUAGUAUUAGUCUAAUUAAUCUGGAAAAUUAAAUAUUAUUCUAUAAUUUAAAUAUUUGAUAUCCUAUUCAAUAUAUGCUCUUGAAUAAAAAUUUUAAAAUUUUUUUAAGCAAAGUAUUUUUUAUUUAUAGUCAAUAAUAAUUUUAUUGACUUUUAUUUAUAAUAACCUAAUUAUGCUGUAUCAAUAUGGACGUGGGUUCAAUUCCCUCCAGUUCCA